rnacentral:lncRNA from 1 species
GCUCGGCCCAGCAGGAACCAAGGAGAAUCAGGAAGAGGCCGCAAUAUAAGCCCACGCAGUCGCAGGUGUUUGGACCGCGGGAAACCCAUCAUCGACCGCGGUCGCGUGAAUAUGACCGCGGCCAAGCACUUGGUUGCCGCGGUCGUAUGGCCCCUGACCGCGGCACUUGGUCGUUGAGAUCAAACCCGACCCCAAACCACCCACUUCACCCCAUUCCACCUCACCAAUCACCCUCCACCUCAUUCAUCACCUUCCACCACCUUCAUCACCACCUAUCACCUUCCCAAACCCCUUCGAACGAAUCUGGUUCAUCUCCACCAGCAUCCCGGAUCCAGGUAAGUUCUCUUUGUCCUUACCAAUUCAAUUAUCUAUGCAUUUUUCUCAUCCAAUCUCGACUUGUUUCACACUGAGGACAGUGUGAUUUAAGUCUGGGGGAGGA